GUCUGCAUCAUCGUGAGUCGCCAGUCAGAGCUGUCUGUUUGGGUAAACCUUGCGGCUGGUGUUGGGUUGACGUGUUUUCUCGCGGCAGUCCGAGGUGAGCCGGAGAGAGAGCGGCGUUAAUAAUACCGACAGUGCCUGCCUUUACACGUUGUACCAUUGUGUGGUAGAUCUAUUAAAUCGAGUGAGCCUACGGGUGCACAGAAGUGCUGUGUACGCGAUUUCUGGGAAGACCCCACACACGAUCGACAGAACGAGCCUGCAGCUUUCGGGCUUACCCUUAUAGUAACCUGUGUUUCCGGAUCACUCAUCCCAAUGGUAUGUGUUUUAAAGGUAAUAAACAUUUCGCAUGUAUGGUGAGUUGUUUAACGUUCUAUUUUAAUUUUAUUACAGAUUUGCGCUUCUAUGGGUGACUAACGUGGAAUUAUCGCCCAGGAGGCGCUGUUGCUUUGCUUAUAAUUUAGCGUGUGUGUGUGUGUGUGUGUGUGUGUGUGUGCGUAUCUAAAGCUUAUUGGUUGCUUUUUGGGUUUUGGGGCCCUUUUUCUUUUGUGUUUACAUUUGAAUGUUAAAGGUUUGUUUUGUUUUUGUUUAAUGUUUCUUGAACUAUUUUGUUGGUAUUAUUUUUACAUUUUGUAUCUUGAGUUAUUUUGUUUACCAAAGAGGGAUUAAUAUCACUCUUUUCCCUUUUGGUCUUGUCCCUUUUUAAGUUUAUGUAUAUAGGGGGUGAAAGGCACAGCAAAGAGUUAAAGGUGCCCUCACCUCCUGUGUGUUACUUGUGCACACUAUCCAUAUGUUUGUGACCUGCACAGUAUCCCAUCAGUGGCCUUUUGACCU